CCUACGGGGUCAGCAGUGGGGAAUAUUGGACAAUGGGCGAAAGCCUGAUCCAGCCAUGCCGCGUGUGUGAAGAAGGCCUUCGGGUUGUAAAGCACUUUCAGUGGGGAAGAAAGCCUUGGGGCUAAUACCCUCGAGGAAGGACAUCACCCACAGAAGAAGCACCGGCUAACUCCGUGCCAGCAGCCGCGGUAAUACGGAGGGUGCGAGCGUUAAUCGGAAUUACUGGGCGUAAAGCGCGCGUAGGCGGUCUGAUAAGCCGGUUGUGAAAGCCCCGGGCUCAACCUGGGAACGGCAUCCGGAACUGUCAGGCUAGAGUGCAGGAGAGGAAGGUAGAAUUCCCGGUGUAGCGGUGAAAUGCGUAGAGAUCGGGAGGAAUACCAGUGGCGAAGGCGGCCUUCUGGACUGACACUGACGCUGAGGUGCGAAAGCGUGGGUAGCAAACAGGAUUAGAUACCCGUGUAGUC
rnacentral:rRNA from 1 species